AAAACGCAACAAGGCAUCCAGGCAUGCAGCAGUCAAGGCCAGCUUUGUGAUAUCCCACAAAAUCACCAAAAACAGUAAGCCAUUUUCUGAAGGGGAGUUUAUUAAAGAGUGUUUGGUGGAUUCUGCUGCACAAAUAUGCCCAGAGA